rnacentral:rRNA from 1 species
GAAGGUGUACUGUGAGGUAUGCUGGAGGUAUCAGAAGUGCGAAUGCUGACAUAAGUAACGAUAAAGCGGGUGAAAAGCCCGCUCGCCGGAAGACCAAGGGUUCCUGUCCAACGUUAAUCGGGGCAGGGUGAGUCGACCCCUAAGGCGAGGCCGAAAGGCGUAGUCGAUGGGAAACAGGUUAAUAUUCCUGUACUUGGUGUUACUGCGAAGGGGGGACGGAGAAGGCUAUGUUGGCCGGGCGACGGUUGUCCCGGUUUAAGCGUGUAGGCUGGUUUUCCAGGCAAAUCCGGAAAAUCAAGGCUGAGGCGUGAUGACGAGGCACUACGGUGCUGAAGCAACAAAUGCCCUGCUUCCAGGAAAAGCCUCUAAGCAUCAGGUAACAUCAAAUCGUACCCCAAACCGACACAGGUGGUCAGGUAGAGAAUACCAAGGCGCUUGAGAGAACUCGGGUGAAGGAACUAGGCAAAAUGGUGCCGUAACUUCGGGAGAAGGCACGCUGAUAUGUAGGUGAAGUCCCUCGCGGAUGGAGCUGAAAUCAGUCGAAGAUACCAGCUGGCUGCAACUGUUUAUUAAAAACACAGCACUGUGCAAACACGAAAGUGGACGUAUACGGUGUGACGCCUGCCCGGUGCCGGAAGGUUAAUUGAUGGGGUUAGCCGCAAGGCGAAGCUCUUGAUCGAAGCCCCGGUAAACGGCGGCCGUAACUAUAACGGUCCUAAGGUAGCGAAAUUCCUUGUCGGGUAAGUUCCGACCUGCACGAAUGGCGUAAUGAUGGCCAGGCUGUCUCCACCCGAGACUCAGUGAAAUUGAACUCGCUGUGAAGAUGCAGUGUACCCGCGGCAAGACGGAAAGACCCCGUGAACCUUUACUAUAGCUUGACACUGAACAUUGAGCCUUGAUGUGUAGGAUAGGUGGGAGGCUUUGAAGUGUGGACGCCAGUCUGCAUGGAGCCGACCUUGAAAUACCACCCUUUAAUGUUUGAUGUUCUAACGUGGACCCGUGAUCCGGGUUGCGGACAGUGUCUGGUGGGUAGUUUGACUGGGGCGGUCUCCUCCUAAAGAGUAACGGAGGAGCACGAAGGUUGGCUAAUCCUGGUCGGACAUCAGGAGGUUAGUGCAAUGGCAUAAGCCAGCUUGACUGCGAGCGUGACGGCGCGAGCAGGUGCGAAAGCAGGUCAUAGUGAUCCGGUGGUUCUGAAUGGAAGGGCCAUCGCUCAACGGAUAAAAGGUACUCCGGGGAUAACAGGCUGAUACCGCCCAAGAGUUCAUAUCGACGGCGGUGUUUGGCACCUCGAUGUCGGCUCAUCACAUCCUGGGGCUGAAGUAGGUCCCAAGGGUAUGGCUGUUCGCCAUUUAAAGUGGUACGCGAGCUGGGUUUAGAACGUCGUGAGACAGUUCGGUCCCUAUCUGCCGUGGGCGCUGGAGAACUGAGGGGGGCUGCUCCUAGUACGAGAGGACCGGAGUGGACGCAUCACUGGUGUUCGGGUUGUCAUGCCAAUGGCACUGCCCGGUAGCUAAAUGCGGAAGAGAUAAGUGCUGAAAGCAUCUAAGCACGAAACUUGCCCCGAGAUGAGUUCUCCCUGACUCCUUGAGAGUCCUGAAGGAACGUUGAAGACGACGACGUUGAUAGGCCGGGUGUGUAAGCGCA